UGAAAAUUGACUCUCCCCCAAUCGGAAGGGAGUCUUAAUGCAUCUCCUGGGAAACAUGGCUGUAUAUCACUCCUUUUCACCAUAUAUCUACCCAACAGAGGACAAGAAAGAUGCAAGAGUAAGUAAAGCAGCAUGUGAUGCGGAGGUUAUUGUACACCUGGAGCAUAAGUUUUUGGAAACACAAGAAACAGGCUGCUUUCUCAAUUAGCUAUCUUUAAAAAAUAUGGAAAGAUUUGAGGAAAGCAUAGUAGCAGUGUGUCGGAUCAAAUGAGAGAAAGUGACGCAGUUAGUCUCACAGAUUCGAGGGAACAUUUCCACACUUG